ACGUAAGAUGUGUAGUUGAUGUAAAUAUGGACAUAAAGAAAUAUGUAGGCUUUAGCUGGGCAUGCAUGGAGUGUCAGGAUGCCCACAAAGGAAUCUACGAAUAUGG
rnacentral:snoRNA from 1 species